UACGGAGGGUGCAAGCAUUAAUCGGAUUUACUGGGCGUAAGGGCGCGUAGGCGGUGAUGGAAGUCAGAUGUGAAAGCCCGGGGCUUAACCCCGGAACAGCAUUUGAAACUCCAUUUCUAGAGGGUAGGCGGAGGAAACGGAAUUCCACAAGUAGCGGUGAAAUGCGUAGAUAUGUGGAAGAACACCGGUGGCGAAGGCGGUUUCCUAGCUCACACCUGACGCUGAGGCGCGAAAGUUAGGGGAUCAAACAGG
rnacentral:rRNA from 1 species